GACGAACGCUGGCGGCGUGCUUAACACAUGCAAGUCGAACGCGUGGGGAACGGGGGAGUAAUAUGUGGGUGACCUGCCCCCUUGUUGGGAUAAGCCUUGGAAACGGGGUGUAAUACCGGAUAUAGGGGGAGGGGAGCGGGGCCUAUCAGCUUGUUGGGGGGGUGAUGGACUACCAAGGCGGUGACGGGUGGGCGGCCGGAGAGGGUGACUGGCCACAGUAGGACUGCGAUACGGCCCAGGCUCCGACGGGAGGCGACUGUGGGGGAUAUGGCACAAUGGUCGAACGCCUGAUGCAGGGAUGUCGCGUGGGGGAUGAAGGCGUUAGGGUUGUAAACCGCGUUCGAUAUCGAACGGGUAGGUGGAGAAGAAGCGCCGGCUAACUACGUGCCAGCAGCCGCGGUAAUAC
rnacentral:rRNA from 1 species